rnacentral:rRNA from 1 species
AGUGAACGCUGGCGGUAGGCCUAACACAUGCAAGUCGAACGGCAACACAGUGAGCUCUUGCUCUUACCGUUGGCGAGUGGCGGACGGGUGACACGUGCAUCGCAUUCUUCUUUUUCUUGGGUGAUAACGUAAGGCAGCUUACGCUAAUACCGCAUACAUCCUACGGGUGAAAUCAGUGGAUCUUCGCACUUUGCCCGUUUGAUUGAGCUGACGUCGGAUUAGCUAGUUGGCGAGGUAAAGGCACACCAAGGCGACGAUGCGUAGCUGGUCUGAGAGGAUGAUCAGCCACACUGGAACUGAGACACGGUCCAGACUCCUACGGGAGGCAGCAGUGGGGAAUAUUCGACAAUGGGCGAAAGCCUGAUCCAGCCAUGCCGCGUGAGUGAAGAAGGUCUUCGGGUUGUAAAGCUCUGUUGUUGGGAAAGAAAAGCAGCGGGUGAAAACCCCGCCGUUUUGACGGUACCCAAAGAAUAAGCACCGGCUAACUUCGUG